AUUGAACGCUUGCGGCAGGCCUAACACAUGCAAGUCGAGCGGUAGCACAGAGAGCUUGCUCUCGGGUGACGAGCGGCGGACGGGUGAGUAAUGUCUGGGAAACUGCCUGAUGGAGGGGGAUAACUACUGGAAACGGUAGCUAAUACCGCAUAACGUCGCAAGACCAAAGUGGGGGACCUUCGGGCCUCAUGCCAUCAGAUGUGCCCAGAUGGGAUUAGCUAGUAGGUGGGGUAACGGCUCACCUAGGCGACGAUCCCUAGCUGGUCUGAGAGGAUGACCAGCCACACUGGAACUGAGACACGGUCCAGACUCCUACGGGAGGCAGCAGUGGGGAAUAUUGCACAAUGGGCGCAAGCCUGAUGCAGCCAUGCCGCGUGUGUGAAGAAGGCCUUCGGGUUGUAAAGCACUUUCAGCGGGGAGGAAGGCGGUGAGGUUAAUAACCUCAUCGAUUGACGUUACCCGCAGAAGAAGCACCGGCUAACUCCGUGCCAGCAGCCGCGGUAAUACGGAGGGUGCAAGCGUUAAUCGGAAUUACUGGGCGUAAAGCGCACGCAGGCGGUCUGUCAAGUCGGAUGUGAAAUCCCCGGGCUCAACCUGGGAACUGCAUUCGAAACUGGCAGGCUAGAGUCUUGUAGAGGGGGGUAGAAUUCCAGGUGUAGCGGUGAAAUGCGUAGAGAUCUGGAGGAAUACCGGUGGCGAAGGCGGCCCCCUGGACAAAGACUGACGCUCAGGUGCGAAAGCGUGGGGAGCAAACAGGGUUAGAUACCCUGGUAGUCCACGCCGUAAACGAUGUCGAUUUGGAGGUUGUGCCCUUGAGGCGUGGCUUCCGGAGCUAACGCGUUAAAUCGACCGCCUGGGGAGUACGGCCGCAAGGUUAAAACUCAAAUGAAUUGACGGGGGCCCGCACAAGCGGUGGAGCAUGUGGUUUAAUUCGAUGCAACGCGAAGAACCUUACCUGGUCUUGACAUCCACAGAACUUUCCAGAGAUGGAUUGGUGCCUUCGGGAACUGUGAGACAGGUGCUGCAUGGCUGUCGUCAGCUCGUGUUGUGAAAUGUUGGGUUAAGUCCCGCAACGAGCGCAACCCUUAUCCUUUGUUGCCAGCGGUUAGGCCGGGAACUCAAAGGAGACUGCCAGUGAUAAACUGGAGGAAGGUGGGGAUGACGUCAAGUCAUCAUGGCCCUUACGACCAGGGCUACACACGUGCUACAAUGGCAUAUACAAAGAGAAGCGACCUCGCGAGAGCAAGCGGACCUCAUAAAGUAUGUCGUAGUCCGGAUUGGAGUCUGCAACUCGACUCCAUGAAGUCGGAAUCGCUAGUAAUCGUAGAUCAGAAUGCUACGGUGAAUACGUUCCCGGGCCU
rnacentral:rRNA from 1 species